rnacentral:rRNA from 1 species
CGGCGAACGGGUGAGUAACACGUGAGCAACCUACCCUCAACUUUGGGAUAAGCCUCGGAAACGGGGUCUAAUACCGGAUAUGACUGCGGACUUCAUGGUUUGUGGUUGAAAGUUCUGGCGGUUGGGGAUGGGCUCGCGGCCUAUCAGCUUGUUGGUGGGGUAAUGGCCUACCAAGGCUUCGACGGGUAGCCGGCCUGAGAGGGCGACCGGCCACACUGGGACUGAGACACGGCCCAGACUCCUACGGGAGGCAGCAGUGGGGAAUAUUGCGCAAUGGACGAAAGUCUGACGCAGCAACGCCGCGUGAGGGAUGACGGCCUUCGGGUUGUAAACCUCUUUCAGCAGGGACGAAGCGAGAGUGACGGUACCUGCAGAAGAAGGACCGGCCAACUACGUGCCAGCAGCCGCGGUAAUACGUAGGGUCCGAGCGUUGUCCGGAAUUAUUGGGCGUAAAGGGCUCGUAGGCGGUUCGUCACGUCGGGAGUGAAAACUCGGAGCUUAACUCCGAGCCUGCUUCCGAUACGGGCAGACUAGAGGUAGGCAGGGGAGAGCGGAACUCCUGGUGUAGCGGUGGAAUGCGCAGAUAUCAGGAAGAACACCGGUGGCGAAGGCGGCUCUCUGGGCCUUACCUGACGCUGAGG